rnacentral:rRNA from 1 species
UACGUAGGUGGCAAGCGUUGUCCGGAUUUACUGGGCGUAAAGGGCGCGUAGGCGGCGUGGUAAGUCACUUGUGAAAUCUCCGAGCUUAACUCGGAACUGCCAAGUGAUACUGCUGUGCUAGAGUGCAGAAGGGGCAACCGGAAUUCUUGGUGUAGCGGUGAAAUGCGUAGAUAUCAAGAGGAACACCUGAGGUGAAGACGGGUUGCUGGGCUGACACUGACGCUGAGGCGCGAAAGCUAGGGUAGCAAACGGG